GACUGAUUAAGUUGGUUUAGCUGGGUCGUACUCGAUGGAGAUGUUAUGUUGUGGAAAGAAUUGUGUUGGGCUAGUUGUUCAUGGUGUUGAGUAACCUGGAACGAAUUUUCAAAUGAAUAUCUGUGCAGAAGAUGUGUUGCAGUCAUCAUAUCACGCGAGUCGAACCAUUUUGCAGAAGUCACGUUACCGGUUACAUACAUUUUAUUUAAGCUAGUUCUUUCACAGCGUUAGUUUUUUCUCUUUGCCAAAUAAAUACAUUGUGAACCAUGGCACAACCGCAAAAAACAAUUCCCAAUCCAAUGAAGACGCUGGUCACUAUGGCAGGAGUGGAAUGGAAUUGAAUGAAAG